rnacentral:rRNA from 1 species
UGGGGAAUUUUGCACAAUGGGGGAAACCCUGAUGCAGCGACGCCGCGUGAUUUAGAAGGCCUUCGGGUUGUAAAAAUCUUUUUUACGGGAUGAAAAUGACAGUACCGUAAGAAUAAGGUCCGGCUAAAUACGUGCCAGCAGCCGCGGUAAUACGUAUGGACCGAGCGUUGUCCGGAAUCAUUGGGCGUAAAGGGUACGUAGGCGGCCUAGUAAGUUAGAAGUGGAAUAAUAUAGCUCAACUAUAUAAAGCUUUUAAAACUGCUAGGCUUGAGAGAUGGAAGGGAAAGUGGAAUUCCUAGUGUAGCGGUGAAAUGCGCAGAUAUUAGGAAGAAUACCGGUGGCGAAGGCGACUUUCUGGUCAUCAUCUGACGCUGAGGUACGAAAGCGUGGGUAGCAAACAGG